CGGAGGGUGCGAGCGUUGUCCGGAAUCAUUGGGCGUAAAGGGCGCGUAGGUGGCCCGGUCAGUCUUUGGUGAAAGCGCGGGGCUCAACCCUGCGUCGGCCAGGGAUACUGCCGCGGCUCGAGCACUGUAGAGGCAGGCGGAAUUCCGGGUGUAGCGGUGGAAUGCGUAGAGAUCCGGAAGAACACCGGUGGCGAAGGCGGCCUGCUGGGCAGUUUGGCUGACACUGAGGCGCGACAGCGUGGGGAGCAAACAGGAUUAGAUACCCUGGUAGUCCUAGCCUUAAACGAUGAAUGCUUGGUGUUUGGGGUUUUAUAGUCCCCGGGUGCCGUCGCUAACGCUUUAAGCAUUCCGCCUGGGGAGUACGGUCGCAAGACUG
rnacentral:rRNA from 1 species